rnacentral:lncRNA from 1 species
UUAGAAGCGGCGGUGGCCCUCUUGCAGCAACAUUUAGCAGCAUGUGGUUGGGGCAUCCGUGAAUCCAAGGUCCAAGGGCCAGGAUUAUCUGCCAGAUCCUUGGAAGUUAUCUGGUCAGGUAAGACAAAGGCCAUACCAGAAGCCAUCAUUGACAAAAUCCCCGGCCCACCACAGUGAGACAGCUGCAAACUUUUGUGAGCCUCCUGGGAUAUUGGUGGACAUUUGUGCCCCAUUUAGCUCAAAUGAUAAAACCAUUGCGUCAGUUAACAAAGGAGGGAGCUACCUGGGGUUGGGUUGAUGUGGCUGAGACCACCUUCCUGGCAGCCAAGCAGUCUGUUCAGCAGGCACAAGCAGGUCCAGGUAGGUUUGGGCAAAGCAAAGGGAGUGGGUUUGGGCCUUUACAGUGGCUGAGAAGUGGGACUGGGAAAAGUUCCUGCAUGUCGACAAUUUAAAUAUUCAGUGGUACCAAAGGAGGAGAUGAGGUCAUGGGCCUUCUUAUCAGCCUGCCCAGAUGUGGGGCCCAAAAGGAAGAGAGGGCAAGGCCUGAAAGGAAUUAUCAAUCCAACAUAAAAAACGAAGUGUGACUCUCCAUUACAAUCAAUUAUAAAGGGGAUAAGAAAUAAAUAUCACAGAAAACCACUUUAAAAUAGCAAAUCUCUACCAUAGCAAAUUGUUACUAAUAUAUGAAUGAAUCAACAAAGGCACAAGUAUACGAUAACCCCGGAGACUGGUAGAGGGGUAGCCAGCACUUUCAUACCUUUGGCCUGAGGGAUUUACUGUCCCGUAAAGAAGACUGAAGAUGUGAAUGACUCUCCACUAGGGCUUUUGAAAUACUCAAGGUGAGAAAUGGUGUUGGCCUGAACCAAGUAGUUUUGGAUAUGGAGGAAGGUAGGUUUCAUUCAUUCAUCACCCUAACUGAGUGCUUAUGUGUGCCAGCCCUGUCCUAGGGGACCUGUGACACACACUGAAUAAGAGAGAAACAGGUCCAUUUUUCCAGGGUACUCAGUCAGGCAAACAACUAUAAUGGUAUUAUAUAUUAUAUAAUAUGACUAAGUGUUUUUCUUGGAGAAGUACAGGAGUGUGAAAACCCAUACCCAGGAUGAUGGCAAAGGAAAUAAGGAGGGAGAGAAGUGGUAGUAGAGAGAACUCAACAAGGAGAUAGAAGUAAUAGAAUUUGGUAGAGGAUUAAAUGUGGGAGGGGAAGACUGACAAGGGCAUCUGUGUGGAGGGAGGUACCGUUCUUUGAAGUAGGUAAUACCCAAGGAGAAGAAGACUAGUGGGGAAGGUGUGGAUUUAAUUUUGGAUACGCUGUAUUUGAGAUGCCUGUAGGACAGUCCAUUUGAAAUGCCCCCGAAUCUUCUGCAGAGAGAGACCUGGACUAGCAAUACGGUCCUGGGGGUGAGAAGAAAGGCUGUUGCAAUUUGAGUCCCUGGCUGGCUAUCAGGUUAUCCAGGGAGGGAGUGCAAGGCAUGACAAUGGCCCUGGACAGCACACUGAGGAACGUCAAGGCUAGAGACUGGCGCAGAAAGGAACCUCUGCUGGGCAAAGGCUCCCGGCCCAGAUUUUAAGCACUGGCAUAGGUCGUUUACUGAGAUGGCCUCAGCAGCACAGGAGGAGGCCAGAGUCAGGAAGGAGCAAUCUAAGAGCUCACACUUGUGGGUUGUCCCUGUGGAAUCUCAGAAGUAUUGGGACAUUAGUGGCUACCAGGCUUUUGAAGGAGGCCUGGGCUACCAGCUUUUAUCCUUAGUGGGAGCAAGAUCAGAGAACUACUGGGUAAUGUGACCCCAUGAGCUCACUGUGCUGCAGUUCAAGGACCCCAGGGUUAUCUUUGUGAUUUGUGUCUUCUACCCUGCACAGAUGGCUUCGGUCUCGCUGAGAUCAAGAGGAACCAUUCUGUGUUUGUGGAGAAGUCAGUGACAGACAUGGAUUAAAGGUAUUUGUUUGCAUCUACUUACCUUGGUUGGCAGCAGAUUACGACCACCUGACUGCUAGACAGGUGUGGAGCCAAGGGGCAAGGAUGCCCGUUGACAUGGUGAUCAUUCACCUGAUUGGAAGUGAGGUGCCGAAGUGUGUCUGAGUUCUAGUGGAGAAACCACUCCUGGAGAACUGGAGAUGGAUGGGCUUUGGGGCAGAGCAGAUCUGGUAUUGCAAGCUGUGAUUGUUUCCUACUAGCUCUGUGAGAUUGAGGAAAUGACCUCUGAGUUUCUAUUCCCUUGUCCUCAGAAAAAUGAGAAUUAUUCAUGUGAAUAAAGACAAAUGCAGAUAUGAGUGACUGGCAUAACUAAGGGGCACAGGAAGACAGCCUGCACUUCCAGUAUGCAUUUCAUGCCAUGUCUUUACCUCCUGUGGCAUACUUGAGUCUGAGAUUUCUUUGAGCCUAGAAUUUGAGUGCUGAUUGGAACUUGAAUUCUUCUGUUCAGACUCAGGUCCUGGAGGGAGGACAUGUGAAAUGUGCUUUAAACCCUGUUGAAUUUCUAGCAACUUGAAUUUGAAUGGAUUCUCUGAGUUUAAAAAAUAUUCUACCAUACUUUGUUUCUGCCUCCCCAAAAGAAGUGUUUAGGUUUUUAUCCAAUGCUUUAAGGCUCUCCGAGGACAGCAUCGUGGAGGAGGAAGAACACUGGCUUUGAAUCCUGGCUCUGUCACUUUCUUACGCUGUGGCCGUGGCUGAGACCUUUCUUGAGUGUGUUUUGUCGCCUGCAAAAUGGGCAAAAGCAGGGCAGGUUUCAGGUUUUGUGGGGCCUGAAGCCUAUACAAUUUGGGGCCCUCUUUAAGAGAAAGAACACAAAAUUAUGAAUAUAAACUUAGGUACAAAACUUACCUUUAGAAUAAGAAAAUAAGUCAACAUAAAUUAUAAAUUUAAAAAAUGCCACAAAUACUAUAUAAUUUAGAAAAAUAGUUUACUUAAAUUAUUUAACUACCUGACAGAUCUCUACGAUGCUUUCCCCCCUUGCCUCUUUUGGCUGAUUACUCUCUGAUUAUCUUUUCAUGGGACCAUAAUUUUGUAAUAUCCUUGUCUAUAGAGAGUAUAGAAGGAUACUCUAUUCUUCUUGCAUGCUGAUCAAAGUUUGUAUUAUUGUGAGGUUUUUUUUAAGCUUUAUUAAUUAUUGUGUAAUUUUUUUUUUUUUUUGAGACUGAGUUUCACUUUGUCGCCCAGACAGGAGUGCAGUGGUACAAUCUUGGCUCACUGCAACCUCCACCUCCCAGGUUCAAGCGAUUCUCAUGCCUCAGCCUCCCGAGUAGCUGGGAUUACAGGCCUGCCACCAUGCCCAGCUAAUUUUUGUGUUUUUAGUAGAGACAGGGUUUCCCCAUGUUGGCCAGGCUGGUCUCAAACUCCUUACCUCAAGUGAUCCGCCUGCCUUGGACUCCCAAAGUGUUGGGAUUACAGGCAUGAGCCACCGCACCUGCUGUAAAUUUUUAGAAUUGUCUAUUUUGGAAAACGUUCUAUCGUUUUUUAUAUGUAGUAAGACAUGAAGUAUUCUUGUAUAGUACUUGUAUUAAACACUCUCUGAAAUGACAAUAUUCUUCGAUGAGCUUGUUAUGAGUGUCCUAUAUUGUCAUUGUCAAAGUGUCAAUUAGCAGAAAAUGUUCUAAUGCAUUCUUGUGAUUCCCUCCUCCUCAUUAAUUGGAUUAUCAGAUAAUCCAGAAGCCUGUCUAUUACUUCUGUUGGGAAUUUAUCUCAUUCUUUGAGAUAAAUUAACUAUAUUUGUCUAUGAUCUGAAUUUUGCUUUUGUUAUAAUUGUAUCUCAAUGUCAGAAUAAUUUCUGUUGAUUCCAUAGCUCAUUUAUUUUAUUAAUUUAUUUGAAUAUUCUCCCAGUCCCUUAAUAAAUCAGUAAUCUGCAUUGAUCCUACUACCUAAGGGAGUUGUUGGAAUGAACAGGCUUUGUAAAUGUCAAAGGUUAUGUCUUCCUAAUUGAUACUAUUCUCUCCUAUGCCCCUCUCCUGCCACUCAGCCCACCCCAGGACUCUGCAGAGUGUGUCUCCCAUUGUAAGUAUACACGGAAGGAUCUAUGAGUUGAGUUCUUGGUUCCCUUGCUAAAAGCCAGGAGGAAAGAAAAGGAAGGAAGCAGAGUAAUAAUUCUUUUUGGUUAUUGUACGUUUACAUCAUGUUUCACUCUAACAUAAACACGAUGACGUAUAACACACAACUUUAUAUAAAAGCCUGUUUUAGAAAAAAUAAUCCCAGAAUUUCCUAAUUUCUGAUAAGGAGUAUUUGACCAGGGCUUCAGGAAUGUACUCUGUUUUGGCAGCCUGGGCCAUAGGCACCAAAUGGAGGCUACUGCUGGUUCCUAGCCCUUCCCCAUAUUCAUUAAUCCUCAGAAUGUGUCCCUGAUAGGACACCUGGGCUGUGCAGGCAUAGCUCACCCCACAUUUUAUCUGACUGUUAUCUCCUCCUGCCAAUGCUCCCAUUCCCUGAAAUCUCUUCAAGAAUACCUGAAGGGCAGGCUCUCUGCACAGCACCAACACUUCUGCAGCUUGGAUGUAAAUGUCAAAUCCAAAGCAAUCUACCUUUAAAGAAAUAUUUUCCUAUUUGAAACUCACCCCUCCCAUGAAGGAAAUUAAUUGCACUUGAUAAUUCUCUUAAAAUGAGUAAUGGAGUAGGUAUAGCCUUAAAAAUGUGCUGUUGGCAUUUUUGUUUGUUUUUCUAAGUGCAGUUAAUUAAAUUCUGGUGAUUCCAGUGGGCUGUCUGCAGAACACAGAGUUAUUACUUUCCCCUGAAUGUCUCCCUGAUUUCCCAGGCAGAGUUAGGAGCUUCUUCCUUUUUCUCUGGCCACCCCCUGCAAUGCUGUGUGUUCCCUCCCAUCAUAAGACUCAUCCUGUUAUUAUUAUUAACCUACUUCUCUGCUUCCUGUACUAAAUGUCAGUGCCUUGAGGAUAAGAACUAUGAUUUUUUUUUUUUGUCAUUAAUCAGGUCUCACUACCUGCUAAUAGAAUCUUCCUACCUUGAAUUUCCCUUGUAGUGGGUCCCUGGCAUUUUCUGAACACAGAUGGCUAUGGGCGUCCUUUGUAGACUUCCUUGGAAGCUCACCUGUGCCCAGGUAGACCAUCCCUAGUGUAGGCACAUUUUAUCCUGCCACCACAAAUCUAGGUCAUGCCUGCUUAUCCCUUCUGGCCUGGAUAACAGUGGCCUUGACAUAUUGGAUGGAGCCCUUUGA